ACAAAAAUCAAAUUCGACCACUCAUCUUUAAUUUCUCGAGGAUAAUCUAACCGAUCAAGUCAUUAAUAGUUUGUUUUUGGUAGACUAUAAGUUAGAAUAUUUCUUGGUUGAUUGAGUAGAGCACUAGUUGAAAUAAAUGCAAAUGUGAAAAGCAGAUGAGCAUGAAGAGAAAGGAUGUCCAUAUGAGUAUUGGUUGAUGAGUUGAUGAGUAUAUAUUUAAUAUUGUCCCAGCAUUGGAAUGUUCCACCAUCAGCUCACUAAAUUUUGUCGUCAGAUUUUCAAGUUUGCUCUAACUGAAUUGACCAUUGAUAAGGCUCAAUAAUUAUGAGCUUUAGGAAUAAACCCACAAGGAAAGGGACAGCCUUUUUCUUUUAUGAUAUGCAUACCAACAACAGUGAAUCAAUCAAACCCACCUCUUUCCUUUCUCUUUCUCAUUAAAAAAAUUGAAACUUUUUCCAAACCCCUUGUUUUUUUCCUUUUUAAUUACCAUAAUCAUGUUUAAUUGAAUAUCAGUGACGUAAAUCCAAGGUUCGAGGUUACUAAAUCCUCAAAAAUCAUUGAUGGGUUCUGAAGUGUAAAGGCAGCUUUUUUCUAUUAUUCAUCGCUCUUUCUUCCAUUUGAUCUCCUCAAAAACUACACUUUUCAAGAAGAAUUUGGGGUUUUUCGGGUAUUAGUCGUGAAGCAUUGCAAAAGUGCUUCUUGUUGAUUAGAUAGCACUAUUGAGAUGAAGGGGAUGAAUCUUACAGAAAGAAGUAAAAUUUGGGACAACCCCAUUUGGGGAAGGUAAAAAUAUUGAGAGAUAAAAGAAUGAUUUGUCAAUGUAGUUUGGAAUCGUUAAGUGGGUACCCCAUAUUCAAGCUAAAGCUUCGGGUUUGUGCCUUUUGCAACUGGUUUUGGUGGACCAUAAUGAGAAGAAGGAGGAGGAGAUUGAUGCAAACUCGCCUUCAAUGGACCACUGAGUCUAUACUGUUCAAUUUUGUACUUGCAUUGUUUUCUCCUGAUUCAGAAUCUGGGUCAUUAUUGCUUCUUACGCCUAUCAAGUUUGUUUUCACUUUCUUUUUCCCUUUUCUGUUUAAGAAAAUGUAUGUUCCAUUUUGCUCCUCUGUUGGAAUUUUUUUUACUUAGUUUGUUUUGGUGAUUUGGGGGACAUAUGAGUAGUAAACAGGGAAACUUGGUUGGAUUGCAUGUCAUUGUAUUGAACUUCAAAGCUCACCUGCCAUUUGGGGAAGGGAAAUCCCACUUGGGGUUCGCUCUCUUUCUCUUUCUUUUUCUUCUGACCACAACUUAUUAACCUAGAGACAGUUCUAAAAGAUAACAGAGGAAGCUGCAUGAAGAAUCAUAGAAACAAUGAGCGAUGAGAAUUCAAAGAAAAGCAAGCUUUCAUGGUCCAAGAAGAUGGUUACUAAAUGGUUCAAUAUCAAGAGCAGAACUGGAUGUGGAGAUUACCAGACAGAUCAUGGUGCUUAUGAAGAUAAAUCUAGUAAGAGCAUAGAGCAUCAUAGCCAGCAUGGACAUAUGAAUAUUGACGAUCCUUGCAUAGAUGUUCAGAACUAUAGCAUUUUCGUUGCUACAUGGAAUGUUGGUGGCAGAUCCCCUCCUAGUAAUCUAAGUUUAGAAGAUUGGCUUCAUACAUCAGCCCCUGUAGACAUUUAUGUACUUGGAUUUCAAGAGAUAGUACCACUGAAUGCCGGUAAUGUGUUGGGUGCGGAGGACAGCGGCCCUGCCAGGAAAUGGCUAACCCUCAUACAGAAAACGCUAAACAAUCAUUCUGGAACAAGUGGAGAUAAAAUGUGCUACAUGCCAUCUCCAAUCCCUGAGCCGUUCAUAGAAUUAAAUGAUGAUUUUGAGGAGUCAUUGAGACUCAAGACUUCAUCUUACUCUCAUCGUCAAUCUUUUCAUACAAUGAAUAGCGGAAGACCAUCUAACGACCAGUCAACUGCACUGCCUCAACUUGAUAGAAGAUUUAGUAUCUCUAAUCAUGUGAUCUUCGACCACCGGCCUAGUGACUAUGAAUCCAGUUUCAGAUGGGGACACAGGCUAAGCAACUAUGCUAGGCAAAGUGAUUAUUGUGGGCAAAGCAAUGACUUAAGGCUAAGUGACUAUUCCAAAUGGGGAUCGUCCGAAGAUGAUGGAUGCCAUGGGGAUUUGACAAAUGAAACUUCAUUCUCACCACCGUUGUAUAAUGGAUCCACAUCCAAGGAAGAUGAACACAAGAUGUUGGGACGUUCGCAGUAUUGCUUGGUUUUUAAUAAACAAAUGGUUGGCAUUUUUCUCACUAUAUGGGUCAGGAGUGAAUUGAAGGAUAGCAUACGGAACAUGAAAGUAUCUUGUGUUGGUCGAGGAUUGAUGGGCUACCUAGGGAAUAAGGGAUCAAUUUCAGUCAGUUUGUCUUUGCAUCAAACAAGUUUUUGCUUCAUCUGUAGUCACUUAACCUCAGGACAGAAACAGGGUGAUGAGUUAAGAAGGAAUUCUGAUGUGAUGGAGAUCCUGAAGAAGACCCGGUUUCGGUGUGAUCGAGGUUUGGCUCAUCAGAAGUCACCCCAAACAAUUCUUGAGCAUGAUCGAGUUAUCUGGUUUGGGGAUUUAAAUUAUCGAAUUGCUCUAUCUCACCGCUCUGCCAAGGCACUUGUUGAGAUGCAAAACUGGAGAGUGUUGCUCGAGAAUGAUCAGUUACGUAAUGAGCAGAAUUACGGUCGAGUGUUUGUUGGAUGGAAUGAAGGCAAUAUAUAUUUUCCACCCACUUACAAAUACUCAAAUAAUUCAGACCAAUACUCUGGGGAUGGUAUGUACUGGAAGGAGAAACGUAGAACUCCUGCUUGGUGUGACAGGAUAUUGUGGUAUGGACAAGGUCUAAAUCAGUUAUCGUAUGUCCGGGGUGAAUCUCGGUUUUCAGAUCAUAGACCUGUUUAUGGCAUAUUUUGUGCUGAGGUAGAGUCAAACCAAGGCCAGUUAAAGAAAAACAUGAGUUCUAGUUCCAAGAUUGAUGUGGAGGAGCUUUUACCAUACUCAUGGCAGGAAAUUCUGAAUCAUCGGUCAAUCCGGUCCAUAUACUUCGAAGUUCAUUACCAAAUUGCAGCCAUGAUGGUGAAGCAAACUUCAUACAGUUCUAAAAAAUCUUUCAUGGAGGAUGUUAAAAUUGUUGAAAUUGGGUUGGAUUACAGAGCCACAGUGUUCUCCAACAGAUGAUAAUCUCAAAUAAUUAAAACUCCAUAUAUUUCUCAGUUAAUUGAUUAGUGGCAAAUGAAUAUGGUCUAUGUCACCCCUCUUUGAAAUUUUCUGUUCGGGGUAGUACCAGCUUUAUCAAAAAAUGGAACCAAACAUAGAGACAGCUAGAGCUAUUCAGAAGAGGAUACGGGAACAAUGGCUGAAGAAUGGUCUUGAAAUGUUGGAAUGUUCAGCACAGAAAUAACUGAGGAUGAGCCCGAUGCAUCAACCAGAAAAUCUUAUAUUCUCUUCCAUUUGAAGCUGUAGGAUGGUCUGCUGGUCAGUUUAAUCCAACCCAAUUGAAAUUGGGAAGUUUUGUUUUUUAAGUAUGUGUACAUUUGAAUCUCAGAUCUCAUAGAAAACAUAUCAAUUGUUGUCAAGGAAGAUUGAGAACCUGAUUUUAGUCAAAAGUUUUUAAUCCCUACAACAGUACAACAGUCCAUUUUCUAUGAAGAGUUGAGAAACCUGAUGUGUGUAAUGGUUUACUGUACAUCAGCCUGAUCUCUAAGAAAAUAUAAGGCAUUUUGCUUUGUUCA